UCUUCAACCUACUCCACUACGACCCAGGGAGGCAAGGCUGGUAUCUUCGAUCUGCUUCACUGUCAGUACUGGAAGGCAAGAUCUGCUAUCUUCAACAUGCUCUACUACAACCCAGGGAGGCAUGGCUGGUAUCUUCAAUCUGCUUCGCUGUCGAUGCAGGAAGGCAAGAUCUGCUAUCUUCAACCUGCUCCACUACAACCCAGGGAGGCAAGGCUGGUAUCUUCGAUCUGCUUCACUGUCGAUGCAAGAAGGUAAGAUCUACUAUCUUCAACCUGCUCCACUACAACCCGGGGAGGCAAGGCUGGUAUCUUCGAUCUGCUUCGCUGUCGAUGCGGGAAGGCAAG
rnacentral:lncRNA from 1 species